rnacentral:rRNA from 1 species
GUGGGGAAUAUUGCGCAAUAGGGGAAACCCUGACGCAGCGACGCCGCGUGGGUGAUGAAGGCCUUCGGGUCGUAAAGCCCUGUGGGAGAGGGAAGAAGCACUAUUGGGAACAAUACCUCGAUAGUUUGACGGUACUUCUCCAGAAAGCACCGGCUAACUCCGUGCCAGCAGCCGCGGUAAAACGGAGGGUGCUAACGUUGCUCGGAAUUACUGGGCGUAAAGCGCAUGUAGGCGGGCCGGAAAGCGGGUUGUGAAAUCCCUUGGCUCAACCAAGGAAGUGCAAUUCGAACUAUCGGUCUUGAGUGCAGGAGAGGGAGGUAGAAUUCUCGGUGUAGAGGUGAAAUUCGUAGAUAUCGAGAGGAAUACCGGUGGCGAAGGCGGCCUCCUGGACUGACACUGACGCUGAGAUGCGAAAGCGUGGGGAGCAAACAGGAUUAGAAACCCGGGUAGUCC